GCUCCUAUAGCUCAGUUGGUAGAGCGCGACACUAGUAUCGUGUCUGAGAAUUUCAUCUCCGGUUUCGUGAAAUGUCGAGGUCUACGGUUCAAAUCCGUAUGGGAGCA